AAAUACAAAUUCACAGCUGAAAUCGAGUAAUAAUCCUUCCUCCCCCUCUCUCAAAUCUCACCUGCGCUCUGUGGUCAUCGCUGCCCAUUUGCCACCAGAUCAACGACAGACGGCGGUACCGCUGGGGCACCACCUUCGUACACCGGAUCUUCAUCGGACUACUCACUUCCGGCGUUCCCUGCAGCCAGUCAGCCACCGCAAGCCAUUCCGCGCAAGAUUGCAGGGCGUAGGUAAUUACACUGGAUGCCUCGUUAUCUUUGAUGAUGUGAAGACUGAUGCUAUCUAUGAAGAAACACUGGAAACUGUCUCUAAUGUUGCUAAGGUUGUAGACAGUCUUUUCAACAGGUCUGCAAAGAUUAUGGUCUGAGGGUGCAAUAUAUUAGGGCCUUAAAAUGUGCCUGUUUUGGUGACAUGAAAAAUUAUUGUUUUCGGACAGUCGACCGGCCAAAUAGCUGGAAAACGAAGAAAGUAGCCAAAAGUGAGGCCAUGUGCCUUGCACAUGAUGGUCAACAGCCAGAAAACGGAAGUCAAUGCCGAAAAGUGGUCUCAGAUUGUCUCUCGCAAAUAAUUUAAGUUUAAGGUGGUCUGACUUCACCAAAAAUUUUAUAUAAGGAUGGAGGACUUGGCCAGUGAAGUAGGAUGAACACUCAUUACUUGCGAGGAAAACAUAAGAAGGUGCAACUUCAAAUGGUUGUCCUGCUCUAUCCAUUGGUGUCUCAGAACCCAAAGUUACAAUCUUUUCCACAGGAAGUGAAUUAGCUACUUGUAUAGGAGUCCAAAUAGGACCUGGUGCAACCCCAUUUACUCGUAUUCCUCUCUUGAUGAAUUGAAGGCUCAAGCUUCUGGUGAAGGUGACAAUGGCUCCUUUGCUAGCACUGUAGUCAACACGAUUUGCUUCUCCUUUGUAUGCCUGAACUGAGGCUGUGUUUAUUAUGCUGCUACCUUCUUUCAUGUGCUUAACUGCAUGUCUGCAACAAGGGAAUUAAUUCAGUAACAACCUGUUUUUACCCCCACUUUAACAAAUAAGAAUGUAUCUAAAUUUCGCUAAAAUGAUAUACCAAGUACUCCCUCCGUUUUUAAAUAUGUAUCACUUUUUUUUUUAAAGUGACGUUCCUUAUAUAUGUCCACUUUUUAUUUUUGAACAUACAUUUUUCACACUUUUCCA